rnacentral:rRNA from 1 species
AUGACCACGAGACCGAUAGCGAACAAGUACCGUGAGGGAAAGUUGAAAAGCACUUUGAAGAGAGAGUUCAAGAGUACGUGAAACCGUUUAGGGGUAAACCUGAGAAACCCGAAAGGUCGAAGGGAGAAAUUCAUUCGCGUUUCGAUGUUGGCGUGAGACGGAAUCGUGUGACGGAAAACGUUUCGGCGUUGUCCGCAUCUUCCGUUUUUCGAUCCCGACAACGAACGCGUGCACUUUUCUCCUGGUAGGACGUCGCGAUCCGUUGGGUGUCGAUCUAAGGCCCGCGGUGGAGCCCGCGCGGACAUCUUCGGAUGUUCCGUUCGGACCCGCGGUAGCCCGGCCGACUUGCUCGACGGUAUACGAAAGGUCGAAGGCCGCUUAUUUAUAGAGCGUUCGACUCGUCGCAAGCGCGUUGGAAGCGUCGGCUAUCGGACCUGGUGCCGAUACCGAUCUCCAAUGGCUGUUGGCGAUGAAGUUCUCGAACAGACCUUCCAAGACCGAUCUGCGACGCUAUAGCUUUGGGUACUUUCAGGACCCGUCUUGAAACACGGACCAAGGAGUCUAGCAUGUGCGCGAGUCAUUGGGAUAUAAACUAAACCUAAAGGCGUAAUGAAAGUAAAGGUUCGUCUUGCACGGACCGAGGGAAGAUGAGCGGUUUUUUGUAGCCCUUAAAAGCGGCCGCUCCGCAUUCCCGGGGCGUCUCGUUCUCAUCGCGAGAAGAGGCGCACCAAGAGCGUACACGCUGGGACCCGAAAGAUGGUGAACUAUGCC